rnacentral:rRNA from 1 species
AGAGUUUGAUCCUGGCUCAGAACGAACGCUGGCGGCGUGGAUAAGACAUGCAAGUCGAACGAGAGAAUUGCUAGCCUGCUAAUAAUUCUCUAGUGGCGCACGGGUGAGUAACACGUGAGUAACCUGCCCCCGAGAGCGGGAUAGCCCUGGGAAACUGGGAUUAAUACCGCAUAGUAUCGAAAGAUUAAAGCAGCAAUGCGCUUGGGGAUGGGCUCGCGGCCUAUUAGUUAGUUGGUGAGGUAACGGCUCACCAAGGCGAUGACGGGUAGCCGGUCUGAGAGGAUGUCCGGCCACACUGGAACUGAGACACGGUCCAGACACCUACGGGUGGCAGCAGUCGAGAAUCAUUCACAAUGGGGGAAACCCUGAUGGUGCGACGCCGCGUGGGGGAAUGAAGGUCUUCGGAUUGUAAACCCCUGUCAUGUGGGAGCAAAUUAAAAAGAUAGUACCACAAGAGGAAGAGACGGCUAACUCUGUGCCAGCAGCCGCGGUAAUACAGAGGUCUCAAGCGUUGUUCGGAAUCACUGGGCGUAAAGCGUGCGUAGGCUGUUUCGUAAGUCGUGUGUGAAAGGCGCGGGCUCAACCCGCGGACGGCACAUGAUACUGCGAGACUAGAGUAAUGGAGGGGGAACCGGAAUUCUCGGUGUAGCAGUGAAAUGCGUAGAUAUCGAGAGGAACACUCGUGGCGAAGGCGGGUUCCUGGACAUUAACUGACGCUGAGGCACGAAGGCCAGGGGAGCGAAAGGGAUUAGAUACCCCUGUAGUCCUGGCAGUAAACGGUGCACGCUUGGUGUGCGGGGAAUCGACCCCCUGCGUGCCGGAGCUAACGCGUUAAGCGUGCCGCCUGGGGAGUACGGUCGCAAGAUUAAAACUCAAAGAAAUUGACGGGGACCCGCACAAGCGGUGGAGUAUGUGGCUUAAUUCGAUGCAACGCGAAGAACCUUACCUGGGCUUGACAUGUAAUGAACAACAUGUGAAAGCAUGCGACUCUUCGGAGGCGUUACACAGGUGCUGCAUGGCCGUCGUCAGCUCGUGUCGUGAGAUGUUUGGUUAAGUCCAGCAACGAGCGCAACCCCUGUUGCCAGUUACCAGCACGUGAAGGUGGGGACUCUGGCGAGACUGCCCAGAUCAACUGGGAGGAAGGUGGGGACGACGUCAGGUCAGUAUGGCCCUUAUGCCCAGGGCUGCACACGUACUACAAUGCCCAGUACAGAGGGGGCCGAAGCCGCGAGGCGGAGGAAAUCCUAAAAACUGGGCCCAGUUCGGACUGUAGGCUGCAACCCGCCUACACGAAGCCGGAAUCGCUAGUAAUGGCGCAUCAGCUACGGCGCCGUGAAUACGUUCCCGGGUCUUGUACACACCGCCCGUCACAUCAUGGAAGCCGGUCGCACCCGAAGUAUCUGAAGCCAACCGCAAGGAGGCAGGGUCCUAAGGUGAGACUGGUAACUGGGAUGAAGUCGUAACAAGGUA